AAACAGCGUUCCGUUCCGUUCGCAAGGUCUGCGCCCCAGCCAUGGCCGCGCCCCCCGGCGACGCUCCCCUCACCGCCGCCAACAAUAUCUAGCCGUUCUUCGUCCUCCACAAGGCAUCCGCGGCCGCCGCUUCGUCGGUGCCGUCCUCCCGGGCUCGGCGGCGGAUUGAUGCCUCGCUCCCAUCUUCCCCCAACCCCAAAUCCGCGAAGAGGACCCGUGAUGUUGACGAAUCUGGUCCAGGAUCCAGUCCACCAUCGAUGAGGUCCUCAGGGGCAUCAACCUCAAGCUGUUCGACCAGGUGCUGCAGUGGGCGCAGGAAUCAUUCUCUGCGAUCCGCGCUGUUGCAAAACCAGAGCCUGUUGAGGCAGCUACUAGCAGAUGUUCCAGAUAUGGAGCAAAGGUUGUGCAGGAGCAAGUGAUGAGAAUGGCUGGUCAUCACACAGGGAAGAAAGAUAAUUUGAUUUCUAAUUGAUCAUUGUUUAUGUCAAGUGAGGCUAGUACUCGCACUGCAAUAUUGUUUUCAUGAGCUUUUUUGUUUAUUUAUUUUAUCCUAAUGUGGUCUAGUAUAUCCUAAUUGGCAAUGGACUGCGUAUCAGUGCAUUUGAAUUGAGUUCAUGUAUGUGUUUUCCAUCUUUUGACAAGAUAUAGUAGUCUAAUUCAGGAUGGAUUUUGCACCAUAGGACUGUUAUUACAUAGGAUUUAUAAAGUAUCACUUCAGUUGUAGAUAAUGGUAUUUACCAUGCCUGGUUGCUUAUAGUCAAGAACUACAGUUAGGAUGGGAUGUAGUACUUGUGUAUAAUUGAUUUCAUAUAAUGGCCACUUGACAUUAAACGAAAGUUCAGAGGUUGUGAUAUGCAGCAGUAUGUGAUUGCAGGACAUUCAUGCUGAGGCUGCCAAGAAGAGGUGUCACACCAUUGUUUCAAUUCAUCUAGGUUGCAUUACUACAGAGCAAGCUGAGCGUGAAAACCUAUGUGCUCUAUUGUUGGUGUUGCAGAUCCUGUUGGAGUGUUGGUGCUCUGGAACAUUUGCUCCUUUGCUUCUGGAAUCAAAUUGCUACUUGUAUCUGGUGCUUCGAUUUUUGGUGCUGUAGGUGUUGCUGGUGUGUAUUUUGGGCUGUUGUAUCUCUUUUCAAUGUAAACAUGAGAUUGUAUCUCUUAUUUUGGGCUGCUAAAAUUUGAUAUGUAUUUUGGGCUGUAAUGAUCAUUUUGGUGUAUGGUAUGAGAAAUUGGAUUGAAUUGAUGGGCUCAAUUUUCAA